UGCUAAGGCCAUGCUACCCUGAACAAGCCCGAUCCUGUCUGAUCUCGGAAGCUAAGCAGAGCCGGGCCUGGUUAGUACUUGGAGCGGAGACCACCUAGGAAGACCAGGUGCUGUAGGCA
rnacentral:rRNA from 1 species